UACGUAGGGGGCGAGCGUUGUCCGGAAUCAUUGGGCGUAAAGCGCGUGUAGGCGGCUCGAUAAGUCCGGUGUGAAACCUUGGGGCUCAACCCCAAGCCUGCACUGGAUACUGCCGAGCUAGAGUCCGGGAGGGGAGAGCGGAAUUCCUAGUGUAGCGGUGAAAUGCGCAGAUAUCAGGAGGAACACCAAUGGCGAAGGCAGCACUCUGGGACGUGACUGACGCUGAGACGCGAAAGCGUGGGGAGCAAACAGG
rnacentral:rRNA from 1 species